GAUGAAUUUAUAGAUGACAUAAACUUUGAUUUUGAUGAUGAUGAUAUUGAGGUGACUGAGCUGAUGGUUACAGAUCCGCCGUCUCCUGAUAAUUCUCCAAUAGUCCAACGUACAAUAGCACCAGUAAGGAGAGUAAAAAAAAUACCAUUACAGACACCAAAUUUUAAAUGGAAAACUAAAGGAAACUUUAGGCCUAAGGAGCAUUAUUUUGAAUCAUCCAAAGUAAAUACUGGUAGCUUGUUGCAUUAUCUAUGAUAAUGAACUAAUCUAUUAUAACUAGAUCACAUUACUUACAAUUGUUAUAAUGUCUUUUUUUUUUUAGUGUGGAGUUCAAACACAUGAAUUUGGUUUGAAUAGUAACUCAAGUAAACUAGAGUAUUUUGAAGCAUUUGUUUCUGAAUUUUUACUUGGCAAAGUAGUAUUUGAGACAAAUAGGUAUGCUGAACAAUAUAAACAAUCUUAUGAAAUCUCACCUAAAUCUAGAGUAAAUGCUUGGAGGGAUACAAAUAUUGGUGAGAUGUAUACAUUUUUAGCAACUACUAUAUUGAUGUCAAUAAAUAAAAAACUUGAUAUGAAAGAAUAUUGGUCAACUGACCCAUUACUGAUCUCACCAAUUUUCAGACAAAUAAUUUCUAGAAACAGAUAUUUAUUACUACUUCAAAUGCUGCAUUUUUGCAACAAUGAGAAUCAAGAAAAGGGAAACCGUCUAUUCAAAUUAGAUGUUGUAUUAGAUGAAAUUCGUGCAAAUUUUAAGGCUGGUAUGAAACCUUUUCAAAAUAUAGUAAUUGAUGAAAGCUUAGUCCUUUGGAAAGGUAGACUAAGCUUCAAGCAAUUUAUAAAAACAAAAAGGCAUCGUUUUGGAAUCAAAUUAUUUGUCCUCUGUGAUGUUGAGACUGAUUUCAUCCUUGAUUUCAUUAUAUAUACUGGAGCUGAUACAAAAUUACUUCCAUAUGAUGCAAAUAUUGGCAUAUCAGGAGGUGUUGUAAAAACUCUUAUUGCACCAUACUUGAACAAAGGAUAUAACUUGUAUACUGAUAAUUGGUAUACUUCCCCAAUAUUAGCUCAGUAUUUAUACAAAAAAAAACCACAAUAACAGGGACAGUAAGAAAAAACAGACGAGGGAUGCCAGAAUUAAAAAAUAAAUUAGCUGUUGGAGAUGUACAAAGUGCUCAUACGAAAAAUAUUAUGGUUUUGAAAUGGGUUGACCGAAGAGAAGUAUACAUGUUAUCUACUAAGUUUGAUAAUAAACUAGAUGCUCUGGCAAGUUUGACCUACAAGGUAAUCUUAUAAAAAAACCAAUUUGUGUGGUAAAUUAUAAUCAAUGUAUGGGUAGCAUUGACAAGACAGAUAUGCUACUAAGUUCAGUAGAAUGUGUUAGGAAAACCAGCAAAUGGUACAAAAAAAUAUUUUUUCAUCUGAUUGAUUUAAGCAUUUUAAAUGCAUUCUCUGCUUUCAAAACAAUUACUGGACACAAUAUACCAAUUGCAAAUUUCCAACUUGAUAUAAUUCGACAACUAUUAGAAAAAUACGGUAAUAAUACAAUAAGCCCCAGAGGAAGACCAUGUAAUAAAGAUCAACCAUUUCGACUAACAGUUCGACAUUUUCCAUCAAAUGUGAAAAAAUUAAAGUCAGGAAAAGCUCAAAGGAGAAAAUGUAUAGUUUGUAGCAGGAACAACAAAAGAAAGGAUACAAUGUAUAUGUGUCAAGAAUGUGAUGUUGGUCUAUGUGUUACACCAUGUUUCGGCAUUUACCACACAAAACAAAAUUAUUUGGCUAUAAAAUUAUUUUAAAAUGUAUAAUUAUAAAAGUUUUGUAUAUUAUAAACAA